rnacentral:rRNA from 1 species
GUGGGGAAUCUUGCGCAAUGGGCGAAAGCCAGACGCAGCCAUGCCGCGUGAAUGAUGAAGGUCUUAGGAUUGUAAAAUUCUUUCACCGGGGACGAUAAUGACGGUACCCGGAGAAGAAGCUCCGGCUAACUUCGUGCCAGCAGCCGCGGUAAUACGAAGGGGGCUAGCGUUGCUCGGAAUUACUGGGCGUAAAGGGCGCGUAGGCGGACAGCUUAGUCAGAGGUGAAAGCCCAGGGCUCAACCUUGGAAUUGCCUUUGAUACUGGCUGUCUUGAGUUUGGGAGAGGUGAGUGGAACUCCGAGUGUAGAGGUGAAAUUCGUAGAUAUUCGGAAGAACACCAGUGGCGAAGGCGACUCACUGGCCCAAUACUGACGCUGAGGCGCGAAAGCGUGGGGAGCAAACAGGAUUAGAUACCCCAGUAGUCC